rnacentral:rRNA from 1 species
UACGGGGGGGGCAAGGGUUGUUCGGAAUUACUGGGCGUAAAGGGCGCGUAGGCGGCCUGCUAAGUCGGACGUGAAAUCCCUCGGCUCAACCGGGGAACUGCGUCCGAUACUGGUGGGCUUGAAUCCGGGAGAGGGAUGUGGAAUUCCAGGUGUAGCGGUGAAAUGCGUAGAUAUCUGGAGGAACACCGGUGGCGAAGGCGGCAUCCUGGACCGGUAUUGACGCUGAUGCGCGAAAGCCAGGGGAGCAAACGGG